AGGGAUUUAGUUCAAUGGUGUAAGCAUCUGCCUGGCAAGCACAAGGUUGUGAGUUCAAUCCCUG
rnacentral:tRNA from 1 species